UACAGAGGCCCCGAGCAUUAUCCGGAAUCAUUGGGCGUAAAGGGUGUGUAGGUGGUCUUAUUAGUCGAAUGUUAAAACCAUGGGCUCAACCCAUGGCUCGCAUUCGAAACGGUAAGACUAGAGGACAGGAGAGGUUUACGGAACUCAUGGUGUAGGGGUGAAAUCCGUUGAUAUCAUGAGGAACACCAAAAGCGAAGGCAGUAAACUGGCCUGUUCCUGACAUUGAAACACGAAAGCCAGGGGAGCGAAUGGG
rnacentral:misc_RNA from 1 species